CACGUAGGGGGCGAGCGUUGUCCGGAUUUAUUGGGCGUAAAGAGCUCGUAGGCGGUUCGGCAAGUCAGCUGUGAAAUCUCCACGCUCAACGUGGAGGGGUCAGCUGAUACUGCUGUGACUCGAGUCCGGUAGGGGAGUGUGGAAUUCCCGGUGUAGCGGUGAAAUGCGUAGAUAUUGGGAGGAACACCGGUGGCGAAGGCGGCCCCCUGGACCGGUACUGACGCUGAGGCGCGAAAGCGUGGGUAGCAAACGGG
rnacentral:rRNA from 1 species